AAAAUCCUGAUAUCCUCAUCGAUGCAAAAGUUAUUUUCAAAAUAUGUAAAUGGCCUCUCCGAAUGAAGAAUGAAGUCAGAAGAUCUGGGACCAACUAACUAGGUGACCUGGCCUGUGCCCUAAAUUUUCCUUUGAGGUCACCGGCCAAAAGGAUCCAUUGAUUGCCAGAAAGUCAAGUCCUCACCAUUCCAAGGAUGAGAAACCUACCGGUAACAGUACUGCCUCGAAGUCAUGACCUAUUUAGUGCUUGGUAUUAAGUUGGAUGGAUGGGCAUAAGCAACCGCCAUUAAUUUUCUCACUUCUGAAAAAGGAAAA